CAGGUGGUCGGUUGUGAGGAAACUCAGUCACAUAGAUAUGCCCAGUGACCCAUGUGGAAAGGUUGGUUCAAGUAACAAAGGACUGAUUUUCAAUCUUAAAAGUAGAUAAUUGAUUCUUAUCUAUAAAGGGGCGGACCCUUUAACCUUGCAACACAAACCUUUAUCUCUGGCUAGUUAAGGUCCCUCCAGAUCUUAAGGACAGUAAACGUAGCAGCCCUGUCCAGCAGUGGCUUCAAGAAUGUGGUAAGGGCACCAACCCGUGGAGGCAGUGGAAGGACCAUACAGUCAAUUAUAAAAGUUUUACUGUCAAUCAGUCAAUUUAGCCAGUGCCAGUGAGUCUGGUUUACUUUAAGCAGAUAUCAAACACAUCUUCAUCCAACGCUGUGUGUUUUAGAAAGACACAUAAUAUUGAUGUUUUGCAUUAAAACAAAACAUGUAUUAUGUGUCGAAUAAAACACACAGCGUUGCAGUUUACUGCUUGCUGAUGAAGAUGCUAUGGAGCUUGGAAGAUGACAGCGCUUCAAAGGCGAUGAUGACAGAUGCCAUACUAGGGACGCGCUCUUGCUAGUGAGGUGAAAGAUCCAUCGAUAUUUGGUAAGGUGACCCAAUUUGCAUAGAGAUAUAUAGGAUUCAUAGACUGCUUUCUUCAUCCAACGCUGUGUGUUUUAUUCGACACAUAAUACAUGUUUUGUUUUAAUGCAAAACAUCAAUAUUA